CUCAACAGUAAUAAUCAGUUAUUUUGGGAGCAGAUUAAUCACUCUCAAAAACCGUUAGUUCUAUAGAUUUCUAUUCAUAUCUAGAGACUAUGACGAUCUCUUCUGAAAUACAGUGGCGUGAAGUAGUUCGUAACGGAAGAGACAGAUCAGAAAGUAUUAAGAAUAACUUCUCUUAAAUUAAAUUGGCUUUUCCCCUGGAUCAUAAAUUUUACCUGC